rnacentral:rRNA from 1 species
GACCAAGAAUGAGUGCCCAUUGUCUCACAUCUUUUACACAGUAUGUUUGUUUUGUUCCGUCGUCUGCCGACAACGAUGCUACACAACAAACUGCAGUACAAAAUUGAAAAGCAGCGAAAUGCAGCGACAGUAGCAGCCUUGCGUAUUUGUUUAUUUUUUUUGUUUCGUCAUGUCACCUUUUUCUCAGCAGAUCCUCUUCAUCAGCAGGAUGAAGAGGUGACUGUAUGGGAAAUGUUUAAACGCGCACACCACACACACACACGCACACACAAACACAUACACCUUUAUUUUGGCUUCAGUUGAAAAUUUUGAGUAAUCUAAAACUUCGAAGGCUGAUUUGAUUGUUUUGGGCUUGGCUGACUGACUGCUAGCUGACCGGCUAUUGAUUGUGUUGCAUUGUUGCUUUCGUUGCGGAUUGACGGCCGCCGUCAAACAGAUGGGUGCAUCAGAGUUUAUCUUCAUCAUCAUCUUCUUCUUCUUCUUUCAACAGCAGAUCGAUCCCUUGUCGUCGUCAGUAUUGUUGUUUUAAUAUCGAAAAAGUUUUUUCUCUUCACGUUUUCUUCAUUUGUUUUUUAUCUGUCAUAUUUAUUAACUUUUUCCCAAUUUGUCCUGACAUAUAUUUGCUCUUUUUUCUUCUUCUCUGUAGAAGCUUCUGCUAUGCUGUUGUUGUUUACAGAAUUUUUGUUUUUUACAUUUCUCUAGCACAACGAAGAACGAAGUAUAACCGACAGUUUCAGUCAAUCACCAGUUGAAAAUGUGCAUGUUUUACGGUUCAUUUUUGAUACUGAUCCCAGAUGUGUUCAUUUAUUUAUUUUCUAUUAUUGUUCAUAUAUUAUGGUUGGUUAUAUACCGUUGUUUUUUUUCUUUCUCUCUCUCUCUCUCUCUCACUAACUCUCACACUCUCCGCUAUUGUCCUCCCGUUCGACUGUUGUUGUGGCAUUGAUUAUAUGAUGUUGUUGAAGAAAAUGACUUCAGCGGUCUUUCGGUGAUUUAUUGCAAGCAUUCUAGAUUGAUAUGCUUUAAGAAUAUCCAGUAUUAUUACCGAAGCCGGUGAACCGUUUCUGUAAUAGGUAAAAUUUAACUGGAGUGCCGAGAUUAGUGUCCGAGUUGUUUGAUUGCCUUUCUGAAUGAUGCUUUCUUUUGUAUUUUUCCUGAAACAUUUCUAACUCAGACUGAUGAUGAGGCGAUGAGUCGUGCAUCGCAAAGUGAAAAGCCUCCGAUUCCAUUACGCAUAUUCCAAAAAGAGUUUUGAGCGUGAGCUCGCUCGGAGCCGCUGUUGGUGCAGAUCUUGGUGGUAGUAGCAAAUAUUCAAGUGAGAACCUUGAAGACUGAAGUGGGGCAAGGUUCCAUGUGAACAGCAGUUGGACAUGGGUCAGUCGAUCCUAAGAAAACGGCGAAAGCUUGUUCGAAUUUGCGACAUGAAUUGUAAGACUGUGUGUUUAUUGUGUGUGUGCAGUUGUCGUAUGUUUUCGAAAGGGAAUCCGGUUGAUAUUCCGGAACCGAGUAACGGAGACAAAGAGUAGCGCUUUAAUCUCUCUGUGGGGUUGGCGUUCAACUCAAUCGCGCGGUAACGCAAGCGAACUCGGAAAAUGACCGUCGUGAGUUUCGAAAAGAGUUUUCUUUUCUUUUUAAGGGACGCAUUCCCUGGAACCGGGUUGUCCGGAGAUAGGGAUUCUGGUAUCCAUAAAACGCCGACUUUUUCACGGUGUUCGGAGCGCUCUCGUCGGUACGUGAAAAUCCGAGCGACGCCUGGUAAACCUCGUCCUUGGUCGUACUGAUAUCCGCAGCAGGUCUCCAAGGUGAAUAGCCUCUGGCCGAUAGAAUAAUGUAGGUAAGGGAAGUCGGCAAAACGGAUCCGUAACUUCGGAACAAGGAUUGGCUCUAAGGGCUGGGCCGAUCGGGCUGAGGUUUCAAGCGUGCAGUGUAUGCUUGGCUGAGUUGUGUUGAGGACUUGUUCACUUGCCGCCGUUUGUUCGGUUGGUCUAGUGUAUUCGAGUCUGAAGCAGAGCUGGCCGACAGACCGGCACGUGCAGAACCUGAGCUGCGCGGCUGUCCGUUUACGUGUACAGACCGUUUCGGUCGGCAUUCAACAGCCAACUUAGAACUGGCACGGACACAAGGAAUCUGACUGUAUAAUUAAAACAAAGCAUUGCGAUGGCCGAUGAUCGGUGAUGACGCAAUGUGAUUUCUGCCCAGUGCUCUGAAUGUCAAAGUGAAGAAAUUCAAUCAAGCGCGGGUAAACGGCGGGAGUAACUAUGACUCUCUUAAGGUAGCCAAAUGCCUCGUCAUCUAAUUAGUGACGCGUAUGAAUGGAUCAACAAGAUUCCUUCUGUCCCUAUCUACUAUCUAGCGAAACCACAGCCAAGGGAACGGGCUUGGCGAAAUCAGCGGGGAAAGAAGACCCUGUUGAGCUUGACUCUAGUCUGACUCUGUGAAGAGACAUGAAAGGUGUAGCAUAGGUGGGAGAUUGUCAAAUUGCCAUCGUUCGCGCGGUGGUCCGGUGAUCGCCAAUGAAAUACCACUACUUUGAUCGUUUCUUUACUUAUUCGGUAAAGCGAAAAAAUUGUGGCCAAUUUGGCGGUGUUUAUGUCGCUGUUGGUCAUUGUUUUCAUGUUAGAUUGAAGCUUUGUUUACAGCCGUCGCUUUGUGUCGCCAUUUGACGCAUUGUUGUACUGGGUUAUCCCGGUGUGUGGUGUAGUCAGUAUGGAUGAUCGGCGAUAGGUUUGAAGUGAUUCGCUCCGGAAACAGUGUCAGACGGGGAGUUUGACUGGGGCGGUACAUCUGUUAAACGAUAACGCAGGUGUCCUAAGGUAAGCUCAGCGAGGACAGAAACCUCGCUUAGAGUAAACGGGCACAAGCUUACUUGAUUUUGAUUUCCAGUACGAAUAGAAACCGCGAAAGCGUGGCCUAUCGAUCCUUUUGAUUGUGUAGAUUUCAUGCAAGAGGUGUCAGAAAAGUUACCACAGGGAUAACUGGCUUGUGGCAGCCAAGCGUCCAUAGCGACGUUGCUUUUUGAUCCUUCGAUGUCGGCUCUUCCUAUCAUUGCGAAGCAGAAUUCGCCAAGCGUUGGAUUGUUCACCCACUGAUAGGGAACGUGAGCUGGGAUUAGACCGUCGUGAGACAGGUUAGUUUUACCCUACUGAUGACAAGUCGUUGCGAUAGUAAUCCUGCUCAGUACGAGAGGAACCGCGGGAUCAGACAUUUGGUUCAUGCGCUCGGCUGAAAGGCCGGUGGCGCGAAGCUAGCAUCUGCAAGAUUAUGACUGAACGCCUCUAAGUCAGAAUCUUUUCUAGUCAUUGGCAACGAUAAGUUGCGUCCAGACUCGAUGCGAGGAAACGAUUAGGCUUUGCUAUACGGCGAAGCCAUUAUCAGACCACGGUAGCAGGCAGUAUGGGAUUGUUACGAAAAAGCAAUUUUUUGAAGUCAGUUGAAUUCAAUCAAACUGCUAACAAUUCCACUGCGAAUGACUCCAUUCGAAUCAAU